rnacentral:rRNA from 1 species
UUUAGAGUUUGGAUCCUGGGUCCAAGACGAACCCUGGGCGCCAUGCCUUAAUACAUGCAAGUCGAACGCUGAAGCACUCUGCUGCCAGAGUGCGGAUGAGUGGCGAACGGGUGAGUAACACGUGGGAAAUCUGCCUAGGAGUGGGGGAUAACAUUCGGAAACGGAUGCUAAUACCGCAUAUCUUUUNGAACCGCAUGGUUCUUAAACGAAAGACGGCUUCGGCUGUCGCUCUUAGAUGAUCCCGCGGCGUAUUAGUUAGUUGGUGGGGUAAAGGCCUACCAAGACCAUGAUACGUAGCCGACCUGAGAGGGUGAUCGGCCACACUGGGACUGAGACACGGCCCAGACUCCUACGGGAGGCAGCAGUAGGGAAUCUUCCACAAUGGGUGAAAACCUGAUGGAGCAAUGCCGCGUGAAUGAAGAAGGUCUUCGGAUCGUAAAGUUCUGUUAUUAGAGAAGAACAAGUCAAGGAGUAACUGUCUUGACUUUGACGGUACCUAACCAGAAAGUCACGGCUAACUACGUGCCAGCAGCCGCGGUAAUACGUAGGUGACAAGCGUUGUCCGGAAUUAUUGGGCGUAAAGGGAGCGCAGGCGGUUGGAAUAGUCUGAUGUGAAAGCCCACGGCUUAACCGUGGAAGGUCAUUGGAAACUGUCCAACUUGGAUACAGAAGAGGUAAGUGGAAUUCCAAGUGUAGCGGUGAAAUGCGUAGAUAUUUGGAGGAACACCAGUGGCGAAGGCGACUUACUGGUCUGUAAUUGACGCUGAGGCUCGAAAGCGUGGGUAGCAAACAGGAUUAGAUACCCUGGUAGUCCACGCCGUAAACGAUGAGUGCUAAGUGUUAGGGGGUUUCCGCCCCUUAGUGCUGGAGUUAACGCAU